rnacentral:rRNA from 1 species
UACAGAGGUCUCAAGCGUUGUUCGGAUUUAUUGGGCGUAAAGGGCGCGUAGGCGGCGGGGUAAGUCGGGUGUGAAAUCUCAGGGCUCAACCCUGAAACUGCACUUGAUACUGCUCUGCUUGAGGACUGGAGAGGAGACUGGAAUUCACGGUGUAGCAGUGAAAUGCGUAAAUAUCGUGAGGAAGACCAGUGGCGAAGGCGGGUCUCUGGACAGUUCCUGACGCUGAGGCGCGAAAGCUAGGGGAGCGAACGGG